CAUGAAGCCGGAAUUGCUAGUAAUGGCAGGUCAGCAUACUGCCGUGAAUACGUUCCCGGGCCUUGUACACACCGCCCGUCACACCAUGAGAGUUGGAAAUACCCGAAGCCUGUGAGCUAACCUUCAGGAGGCAGCAGUCGAAGGUAGAGCCAAUGAUUGGGGUGAAGUCGUAACAAGGUAUC
rnacentral:rRNA from 1 species